rnacentral:rRNA from 1 species
GAUGAACGCUGGCGGCGUGCCUAAUACAUGCAAGUCGAGCGAACGGACGAGAAGCUUGCUUCUCUGAUGUUAGCGGCGGACGGGUGAGUAACACGUGGAUAACCUACCUAUAAGACUGGGAUAACUUCGGGAAACCGGAGCUAAUACCGGAUAAUAUUUUGAACCGCAUGGUUCAAAAGUGAAAGACGGUCUUGCUGUCACUUAUAGAUGGAUCCGCGCUGCAUUAGCUAGUUGGUAAGGUAACGGCUUACCAAGGCAACGAUGCAUAGCCGACCUGUGAGGGUGGUCGGCCACACUGGAACUGAGACACGGUCCAGGCUCCUGCGGGAGGCAGCAGUAGGGAAUCUUCCGCAGUGGGCGAAAGCCUGACGGAGCAGCGCCGCGUGAGUGAUGAAGGUCUUCGGAUCGUAAAACUCUGUUAUUAGUGAAGAACAUAUGUGUAAGUAACUGUGCACAGCUUGACGGUACCUAAUCAGAAAGCCACGGCUAACUACGUG